CUGUUUCCUCAUCCUUAACAACAAUUCAUUUUGUACAUUUCCCUUUGGCCAAGCUUUUUUCUUAUGUGCUUUUGACAGAGACUAUUUACAAGAUGGGUGGAUACUCCUGGCUUCUUAAAAGAGGCUCACGGGCUGUGUGUGGGGAGCCUGACGCCAGAUAUUGAAACCUUAGUUGCAGGUCUUCCUUUUUACUUUGAAUAAACAAUGGAAAUCCAUUAUUUACAGACUGCAUUGUAAACAACUGUGGCUGAAACGUACUCUUACUGGGAGUCUGGCAUCAUAAACCCAACAAGAGAAGAAGGAAAGGCCAACCCAUUGAGGGAAAUAGGACUGAAGACAUUUUAAAACAAUCAGCAAACACUCAGUGGUUCCAUUUAUGCAGAACAUAAACAAAUACCUGUGAUGCAUGCCUGAUGGCUAAUGAUAUUGUUGUCAGAAGCUGUGUUGGAUGGAUCUGGGCCAAGUGCAUUUCCUCCUCGUCAUAGUUUAACAUGCAAAGCAGAGAUUGACUUAAAGGGAAGGGAGAAUCAUGCAAAAUACUGAACACAGAGAGAAAAGGAAAUGGAUUAGAGACUGCAACUGCUGCCAACAAAGUUAGAGCACUCGACUUGAAGGGCUUAUUAACAGUAAGUCAAGCUCAGGUCCCUUACUCCAAGUUAAAAGAUAACAUGGUUUGGUAUGCAUACAACUUUACUGUCCAAGAGAGUCAAAGUAUAGAGGUGGCUGCAUUAGAAUCAGAGAUCACAUAAAAAGAUAAGUGAUAAGGAUAAAUAAGGAAAAAAAGAUAAGGGAAUUUCAUGAGUCAUCCAGUACUGAAUCUAAUCCUCAAAUGCAGCCAUCUCUAAACUUUGACCCACCUGGAUAGUAAAAUCGCUGCCCAUGGCAGAACACAUUAAUAGUGAUUCUACAUAAGCCCUGCAAGGUCAUUGUUGCUGGCAGCUGCCAUCUAUAGUCUUAGGAUAUAUUUCCUUAUGCAUACCAUUUUGCAAGUUGCUCCCUGCAAGACACUUACAAACCCCAGAUGUUUGCCCUAAAUAAUCUUUCCUAAUGGAAAUAAUAUGAAGUACUGAUGACUGGAAGUCAAUGAGGCUACACUACUUCUGCCUCAGCAAGGAGUAGGCCAUUUAUGAAUCUCUCCUCAGAGUGUUUUUUUUUUAAAAAAUACUGAAAAUAGCCAGA